UUGGAGCUUUGAUAGGGGAAACCUUACCCGACUCAUUAAGUAUAACCCUAAACCCUAAAAAUCCCUAAUCUCCUCUCUCUCCCCUUUGAUUUGCAUUUCACCCCGUAAUAUUUCACUUGAAAUCCCACAUCGAUUCAUCCACUUUCGAACUACCCCCCUACCUGAGAUUUCCAGAUUUUGAUAAAGCGGAGGAAAAAAUGGAUGAAUAUCAAGAGAUGGAAAGGUUUGGGAUGGAUAACGAUUUUGAAGACGGGCGAUGGAUCGACGGCGAAUUCUACUAUAAAAAGCGCAAGGAAAAGCGGACUCAGACUAAAGAUGAUGUCCUUUACGGUGUUUUUGCAUCUGAUUCCGACUCUGAAGACGGUGGUUAUUCUUCAUCAAGGAAGAGACGAAGGAGGGAAUUUGGGAAAAAAACCGACUUGACGAAGCCUGUCAACUUUGUUUCUACAGGUACCGUAAUGCCUACCCAAGAAAUCGAUAAGAAUUCUAAGGUUGUGAAUGAUAAUAUUGUCCAUGAUGAUAACGAGAAUGAUAGCAGGCCUGGAUUGGGGUCUGGCGUAGGUUUAGGAUUUAGUGGUAAUGAUACUUCGCAAAAAAGUGAUGUUAAUAUUGGUAGUGAUGAGGAUGAUGUUUCUAGUUUUUUGCCUAGCUCAUUUGGGAGGAAGAUAAAGGAAGGGGCACAAAGGAGAGAGAAAGAAAGGGAGAGGUUGAAAAUGGAGAAGAAAAGCUUAGGAGGGAGAAGGGAGGUUGGAGGUGGUAGUGGGGAUGUUGGGUCAUUUGAGAAGCAUACAAAGGGUAUUGGGUUGAAGUUGCUUGAGAAAAUGGGGUAUAAAGGAGGUGGUCUUGGGAAGAAUGAACAAGGGAUUGUUGCUCCUAUUGAAGCAAAGAUGAGGCCAAAGAAUAUGGGAAUGGGGUUUAAUGAUUUUAAGGAGGCUAAGUUGCCAGAGUUGCAGCAGUUGGAAGAGAAGAAGAGUGCAAGUCAGCAGCCUGUUGGGAAACCAAAGGAGAGGCUUUGGUCGAAGAAUUCUAAGGGAAGGAAGAAGGAGGUGUAUAUUACAGUGGAGGAGUUGUUAGCGAAGAAGCAAGAAGAAACUGUUGAAAUUGUUCAAAAGGUGAUAGAUAUGAGGGGGCCACAGGUUAGAGUUUUGACCAACUUGGAGAAUCUAGAUGCCGAAGAGAAGGCAAGAGAGAAUGAUGUUCCAAUGCCCGAGUUGCAGCAUAACUUGAAGUUAAUUGUUGACUUGGCAGAGCUUGAUAUUCAAAAGAUCGAUAGGGAUUUAAGGAAUGAAAAAGAGAUAGCAUUGAGCUUGCAGAAGGAAAAGGAAAAGUUGGAGAUUGAGUUUUCACGUCAGAAGCAACAUUUGGCUAAUAUGGAACGAAUUACUGGUGUUCUGGACCAAAUUGAGGAAGAGAACUCAUCUGGAAAAUUAACCUUGGAGUCCCUUGCAAGUUGUUUUAGGGAUUUGCAGAGGAACUAUGCUGAUGAUUACAAACUGUGUAACUUGUCCUGCAUUGCAUGUUCACUAGCCUUGCCCCUGUUUAUAAGAAUGUUUCAGGGUUGGGAUCCUCUAUCAAAUCCAUCUUACAGAAUGGAGAUGAUAUCAGCAUGGAAGGACUUAUUGCAAAUAGAGGGCGGUUAUGACAUUUGGGAGGAUGUAGCAACACCUUAUUCUCAGUUGAUCUCUGAAGUUGUUUUACCAGCCUUGAGAAUAUCUGGCAUCAACACAUGGGAGCCUAGGAACCCUGAACCAAUGCUCAGAUUUUUGGAAUCAUGGGAAAAGUUGUUGCCGUCAUCCAUUCUUCAAACCAUAUUGGAUACUGUGGUAAUGCCUAAAUUGUCAGGAGCAGUUGACUCGUGGAACCCACGUAAGGAAACUGUUCCAAUCCACGUUUGGGUUCAUCCUUGGCUGCCAAUGUUGGGGACAAAGUUGGAAGGUCUGUAUCAAACCAUACGAAUGAAGUUGAGUAAUGUUCUUGAUGCUUGGCACCCAAGUGAUCCUUCUGCUUAUGCUAUAUUAUCGCCUUGGAAGACUGUAUUUGAUUCAGUGAGUUGGGAACAACUUAUGCGCCAAUAUAUAGUCCCAAAGUUGCAGAUUGCCCUGCAGGAGUUCCAAAUAAACCCUGCAGAUCAGAAGCUUGAUCAGUUUCAUUGGGUUAUGUCGUGGGCCUCUGCAAUUCCUAUUCACCUCAUGGUUGAUUUGAUGGAGAAGUUUUUCUUUGUAAAGUGGCUGCAGGUUUUGUAUCACUGGUUGUGUUCAAAACCCGACUUUGACGAGAUAAAAAAUUGGUACAUGGGUUGGAAGGCACUUCUGCCACAGGAGCUUUUGGCUAAUGAGAGUAUCCGUAAUCAACUUAAUUAUGGUCUUGAGAUGAUGAUUCAGGCUGCUGACAAUGUACCAGUAGAGCAGCCUGGUUUGAGGGAGAAUGUUACAUAUCUUAAGGUGCGUGAACAGAGGCAAUUUGAGGCUCAGCAGAGAGCAGCCGCUCAUGCACAACCGCAAGCUGCAGCCGGCCUGGGCACUGCAAACCAGAUGGAUGGUGUUCCUGAGAUGAGUUUGAAGGAAGUAGUUGAGGCCUAUGCACAACAACACGAGUUGCUAUUCAAGCCCAAGCCUGGCAGGAUGCAUAAUGGUCAACAGAUAUAUGGCUUCGGUAACAUAAGCGUAGUAAUUGAUUCACUUAACCAGAAGGUUUAUGCCCAGAAGGAUAAUGGCUGGUCCUUGGUCUUACUUGAUGAUUUGUUGAAAAUGCACUAUAAUUCUCUUGCAAGGAGACGUUGAGUUUUUGGUAUUUACUAGGAAAGAUGCUUCCAUGGAAAGUGUGUUUUUUAAGUUUUAAAUUGUCCUUCGAAAGGAGGUUGGCGUUUUCUGGUGAUGGAGAUCAAAUGUACCAUGCAUGAAAUUUUUUGAGCACACAACAGUUGCAGGAAUGUUCCGAGGGGUAACGAUGAAGCUGACAGAAAACUUUCCCGCACCGACAUGUAAAACCCAUCAAACCAAGCGUUGCAGCUUUCACACCUGGUCUUGAGUUUUGCAGCUGCAGAAUCAACCGAAACAGGUGGAGAUUGUGCCGGUGAACUAGUAGGGUCAUUCGUUUUGGACAGCUCUUGUUUCAAUAUCUCUGAUUUGUAACACUGGGAGCAUAAAUUCUGUCUCUACAGAACCAUAGAAACCGCAGCCGUUUGCACAUAAAGGAGGAGUAGCCAUCACCAUCUUGUUUCUUUGCUUUCUUGAUCUCUUAUUGGUUGAUGCUAGAAAAAUCUGAGAGAACCUCUUAUCUUUUUUACUAGACUGCCUUGAAGUUAUCGGUGGAUUAUUAUAGAAUUAAUUAAUUACACUACAAAGUCUUGGAAGUU